AAACCCUUCAUUUACAAAGGGAGAUAGUGCGAAACAGUGCCCGUGACCAUCACAAACACAGCAGGGCUGGGCUGACACCAUCCAUAGCGAAUGUGAAACAGUGCGACGAAAGAGGCGAGUGGAAGAGUGCAAAAAAUAGUGCGGCCCAUUGCAAUUGUAAACAGUGCGACUACUGCUGACAGCGAGAUGGUGGUCGACGACUGAUGGAAAUCGCAAGCGACUUAAAGCAAAGCGUUGAGUGAAUCGCAGGAGAUGAAAGGAAGAAGAAGAACUUCUUAUGUGAGCCUAAAUAAGGAAACCCUAAUCUGUUGUCACGACAUGAGGUCCGUGCUUUGCUGAAGAGGUUUUUGCCGGAUCUUGUUAAAUACCAAAUUAGUCAAGGUUGCUGAAACUAAAUUUUAGUUGUAUUAUCCUUCCACAAGUUUUCUGAUACUUUAUAGAUCUUGUUUAAUAUGAAAACCUCUUUAGGUUUUAUUCAUAUAUACCAAAAUUCUAAACUGCACCAUUAUCCACUCAUUUUAAAAUUAAAUCCAUUUGUCCAAUGGACAUAUACAAGUCUAACAGUUCUUAAUAUUGUAAAUUCUUAAUAUUAAAAGCUUUAGAAUUUAUACGACGCGUUUUAUCAAGUUUGGUCAAAAGUCCAGUUAGAAAAAUGAAAUGAGAGGUUAUAAGAUGUGAAAACAUGGUGUGUUCUUGAUCCAAUGUGGAGACCAGUUAUGACUACUAUGCCUUCCGUAACUUCUUAGCAAUAACCAAUUCAAGGGUGGCUGGUCACAUUAUGUUUUUGGGUUUUGAGCUUUUUAGUGAUUAUUUGACAUUGGAUUUGUCAGGAUCUUGAAACCUUUUGUGAAGAACAUACUAUAAAAUGUUUUUUGAAUUUGGCCAAAGUUGUUGGAAUUCAUUUAAUUGUUGUACUAUGUUUGUUUUGGUUUUGGAAGGUUUCAUAUAACAUGAUUGUAUGGUGGUGGAAUAUGGGUAUCAGUUCCUUAUAGGAGCAUGCAAUCCUUAAUUAAAUAUUGCCUAAGAUGUAUAAUUAGGUUUUGGUCCUUUUGUACAGGUGGGGGGAAUUGCUUCUAAUCAUAUUUAAUGCUGAUUGUUUUCAACAUUAGAAAUAGAUUAUGCCACUUUUCAGUGUUGGUAUUCUUCUUCUGAAGAGCAAAAUCAGGUUGUAGAUUUACAAUUUUACUCUAACAAAAUUAGAAAGUGAGGCUUGGAUCAUACCACCAAACUUAUCAAUAGCUAAUCAUACUGUCAAUUGUUUUCUUAAUAUUAAAAUGUGCAAAUAAGCUAUUUGCGGCACAUCAGAGGGGAAGGGAAUCGAACAUGCAGUCGAUGGAUCACUGAUUCAACGGAAUAUUCAUUUUUAGAUUUAAUUGGGUUUCUCUUUGGAUUGUGUUUUACUUUUUCAUUCCCCCUUUAUUUGGGACACCGACAGGGACCCUGAUCCUUUUUAGUUGGAUUGUUGUAGCACUUUGUGACAUGGGACAGCGACUGGGUACAUUACGCUAAAAUCAUACAAAAAAAAACUUGAGGACAUAUAAGUUUGUCAAACUAAAUUUGAUUAUUAAGCAUUGACAUUAUUUCAUAUUCUAAGUUGAAUGCAGGUUGAAGGAGAAUAAACAGGAACAUAAAAACCACAAAAUUAGUAUUUUUGUCUCUCCAAUCUCUUGAACUGUCAGAGAACAGUCAUGG